UUAACACAUGCAAGUCGAACGGAAAGGCCCUGCUUUUGUGGGGUGCUCGAGUGGCGAACGGGUGAGUAACACGUGAGUAACCUGCCCUUGACUUUGGGAUAACUUCAGGAAACUGGGGCUAAUACCGGAUAGGAGCUCCUGCUGCAUGGUGGGGGUUGGAAAGUUUCGGCGGUUGGGGAUGGACUCGCGGCUUAUCAGCUUGUUGGUGGGGUAGUGGCUUACCAAGGCUUUGACGGGUAGCCGGCCUGAGAGGGUGACCGGCCACAUUGGGACUGAGAUACGGCCCAGACUCCUACGGGAGGCAGCAGUGGGGAAUAUUGCACAAUGGGCGGAAGCCUGAUGCAGCAACGCCGCGUGCGGGAUGACGGCCUUCGGGUUGUAAACCGCUUUCGCCUGUGACGAAGCGUGAGUGACGGUAAUGGGUAAAGAAGCACCGGCUAACUACGUGCCAGCAGCCGCGGUGAUACGUAGGGUGCGAGCGUUGUCCGGAUUUAUUGGGCGUAAAGGGCUCGUAGGUGGUUGAUCGCGUCGGAAGUGUAAUCUUGGGGCUUAACCCUGAGCGUGCUUUCGAUACGGGUUGACUUGAGGAAGGUAGGGGAGAAUGGAAUUCCUGGUGGAGCGGUGGAAUGCGCAGAUAUCAGGAGGAACACCAGUGGCGAAGGUGGUUCUCUGGGCCUUUCCUGACGCUGAGGAGCGAAAGCGUGGGGAGCGAACAGGCUUAGAUACCCUGGUAGUCCACGCUGUAAACGGUGGGUACUAGGUGUGGGGUCCAUUCCACGGGUUCCGUGCCGUAGCUAACGCUUUAAGUACCCCGCCUGGGGAGUACGGCCGCAAGGCUAAAACUCAAAGGAAUUGACGGGGCCCCGCACAAGCGGCGGAGCAUGCGGAUUAAUUCGAUGCAACGCGUAGAACCUUACCUGGGUUUGACAUGGAUCGGGAGUGCUCAGAGAUGGGUGUGCCUCUUUUGGGGUCGGUUCACAGGUGGUGCAUGGCUGUCGUCAGCUCGUGUCGUGAGAUGUUGGGUUAAGUCCCGCAACGAGCGCAACCCUUGUUCACUGUUGCCAGCACGUUAUGGUGGGGACUCAGUGGAGACCGCCGGGGUCAACUCGGAGGAAGGUGGGGAUGACGUCAAGUCAUCAUGCCCCUUAUGUCCAGGGCUUCACGCAUGCUACAAUGGCUGGUACAGAGAGUGGCGAGCCUGUGAGGGUGAGCGAAUCUCGGAAAGCCGGUCUCAGUUCGGAUUGGGGUCUGCAACUCGACCUCAUGAAGUCGGAGUCGCUAGUAAUCGCAGAUCAGCAACGCUGCGGUGAAUACGUUCCCGGGGCUUGUACACACCGCCCGUCAAGUCAUGAAAGUUGGUAACACCCGAAGCCGGUGGCCUAACCGUUGUGGGGGAGCCGUCGAAGGUGGGACUGGUGAUUAGGACUAAGUCAUA
rnacentral:rRNA from 1 species